rnacentral:tRNA from 1 species
GCGGGGGUGCCCGAGCCAGGUCAAAGGGGCAGCCCUGAGGCGGCUGUGGCGUAGGCCUGCGCGGGUUCGAAUCCCGCCCCCCGCA